rnacentral:rRNA from 1 species
UGGGGAAUUUUGGACAAUGGGCGCAAGCCUGAUCCAGCCAUGCCGCGUGCAGGAUGAAGGCCUUCGGGUUGUAAACUGCUUUUGUACGGAACGAAAAGACUCUGGUUAAUACCUGGGGUCCAUGACGGUACCGUAAGAAUAAGCACCGGCUAACUACGUGCCAGCAGCCGCGGUAAUACGUAGGGUGCGAGCGUUAAUCGGAAUUACUGAGCGUAAAGCGUGCGCAGGCGGUUAUGUAAGACAGAUGUGAAAUCCCCGGGCUCAACCUGGGAACUGCGUUUGUGACUGCAUAACUAGAGUACGGCAGAGGGAGGUGGAAUUCCGCGUGUAGCAGUGAAGUGCGUAGAUAUGCGGAGGAACACCGAUGGCGAAGGCAAUCCCCUGGACCUGUACUGACGCUCAUGCACGAAAGCGUGGGGAGCAAACA